ensembl:lncRNA
CGAUGGGAGCUGGGAGCGACCCAGGAUCAUCUGCACAAAGUCUCGACGACUGCACCGGUACCGACGCCAUCACCGCAACCAGCGCCACGACCGCCACGGCCACAGGAGACACGGAGGAGAGGGACACAAGGCCAGAGAGGACGCACACAGCUACUACUGAACCAAAUAAUACAACAUCCACAAUGCCUAGGUGCUAACCAUGGCCCAUAAGGAAAGACAGUAGAUCACAGCAUUUUCCAUUUUCCCUUCCCGCUUCUAACCACAAACCGUGUUCUCUGCUUAGCUUUACUCCCCCCAGUGAAUAAGAUUAUCCCCAUGAUCUAACCUCCAUGCUUUUUGAUGCUUCUUUUUAUUUUCUCUCUGCUUUCUUUAACUGAGGUCCAUGCGAACACUGACUUUAGCACCGCCCUAACAUCCUCCAUCCCAAACAGUAACUCCUCCACUCGUCUACAAACUAUAACCUUCUCUUGGUCUGUCAGCCUGACAGCAGUGUGUGAACGUAUGCAUGUAAGACAGAAACUUAGAGGAGUGCAAAGUCACUUUUUUGGAAAGGUUUGCUUGUUCUACAUGAAAAAAGUAACUCAUCUUAGUAUUCUGUUUACAAAGCACAGAUGUAAUUGAUGCAAGAUAGUCCUGGUAUCCCAGCUUUUUGUACGUGUACUGUAGCUGUUACUUUUCCAUAGAGCACCUGAAUAGCUGGUCUCUUUUACUCUACUGACGUGCUUUUUUUCUAAUAUCUGUUUGUGUAAUGUUACUAUUUAUUAUGAAUCAUUUGCUAGUGAACAUGCUCUCUUUUUCUUACUUAUCCUUUAGAAAGCUGACGUAACACCAUUUUUCUAUACCAAUAUGUAAGUCCAACAAUCAGUCGAUAACAAAAUUAAUCAUUUGAUUGCCUCUAAUCUCUGUACUGUAAAUAUUGUGAUGUGUGUUAUUGGCUCAAACCUGAUCAAUAGCUGGACCUUGUCCAAUCCGAUAGACUCCCCAAUCCCCAUAAGCACUCUAAGCUAAUGUAUACGUCCCAUUGACAUAGUUUGUGUGGGUGGGACUACAGAAUAAUUUGACAUAACCACUUGAUUGUACCUAAUUUGCACGGCCAUAUUUACACGAUGGGUAGAAUGUCACUCUUUUUCGUCUCUUGUCUCUUUGAUAUUUGAUCUGUUAUCCACUUUUUUUGGUGUUAUGACUUUUUGUCCUGCUGUUGUACUCCAUUCUUAAUAAAGCGAACAAAAUGGACAAAAGUUCUGCUUGUCAUUCAUGCCAUCAGCUGUUUUUCACUUUCAAACUGAGCGUAGUUUUGCCACGAGGUCAUGCUCGACCCAGAACCUGACCAGAUCAGUUAAUCUGAGUCGGGUUUUUCCCCUGCUAUUAUCUCUCUAUUUUGUUUUAGCUCCAUAGUGUAGUGCGAGCUAAACCUCAGUUCCAGCUAGAGACAAAAACGCACUUUGGAGUUAAACUAAGAAGGGCAUCUGGUGUAAAACUGUGGCGCUACUCGCUGUGGUGACCCCUUGUGGCAAGGGAUCAUCUGACUGUAGCAUCUGGAUUUUGUCAAAAAGAAGUUAUGCUUAAUGGUUAAUUUAGGCAACAGAUAAACU